UCCCUUAGAUGUUCUGGGCCGCACGCGCGCUACACUGAUGCAUUCAACGAGUCUAAAACCUGCUCUGAUAGGGGUGGGUAAUCUUUUGAAUGUGCAUCGUGAUUGGGAUAGAUGAUUGCAAUUUUUCAUCUUCAACGAGGAAUGCCUAGUAAACGCAAGUCAUCAGCUUGCAUUGAUUACGUCCCUGCCCUUUGUACACACCGCCCGUCGCUCCUACCGAUCGAAUGAUCCGAUGAAUAUCAUGGAUUGAGGAUGCAAGCAGGUUCGCCUGUCUUCAUCUUCGAGAAGUGAAGUAAAUCUUAUCAUUUAGAGGAAGGAGAAGUCGUAACA
rnacentral:rRNA from 1 species